GGUUAUCUCCUAACCUCAGAUGUUGGAUAAGUCCACAGAAACAGCAGCGCCUCUGGAUGGCUUCAGAAGGCUGGAGUGAUUGUUUGGACGAGAAAAACCCGCCUAUUCAUUCAAAGGUACAUGAAUGUUGUCGACACUGUCCCAUCUAAAGGUUCAUCCUCAGAAUCCUGCCUUAGACAAAGGAAGCGCUUGGAGCCCCACCACACCUAAAACCACGCUUUGAAGGAUCUGCCAAGCUCACUUUUAAUCAUGAGAAAGAAAUUACCCACAUGGAGACAGCAGAAAAUGAGAAAGUAGAGAUCGUGCUGCGAAUAAUUCCAGCGAGUGCCAAGGGGCUAGUUGAGGAAUGGCUUCAUGAGGUGAAUAUCUUUAGCUUGUACUUAGGGUUUGGUUAGCGUAUAAUCAU
rnacentral:lncRNA from 1 species